rnacentral:rRNA from 1 species
GGGCAGGCCUGAUCCAGCCAUGCCGCGUGAGUGAAGAAGGCCUUCGGGUUGUAAAGCUCUUUCGGCGGGGAAGAAAUGGCAACGGCUAAUAUCCGUUGUUGAUGACGGUACCCGCAUAAGAAGCACCGGCUAACUACGUGCCAGCAGCCGCGGUAAUACGUAGGGUGCGAGCGUUAAUCGGAAUUACUGGGCGUAAAGCGUGCGCAGGCGGUUUCGUAAGACAGACGUGAAAUCCCCGGGCUCAACCUGGGAACUGCGUUUGUGACUGCGAGGCUAGAGUACGGCAGAGGGGGGUAGAAUUCCACGUGUAGCAGUGAAAUGCGUAGAGAUGUGGAGGAAUACCGAUGGCGAAGGCAGCCCCCUGGGUUAGUACUGACGCUCAUGCACGAAAGCGUGGGGAGCAAACAGGAUUAGAUACCCUGGUAGUCCACGCCCUAAACGAUGUCAACUAGGUGUUGGAAGGGUUAAACCUUUUAGUACCGCAGCUAACGCGUGAAGUUGACCGCCUGGGGAGUACGGCCGCAAGGUUA